rnacentral:rRNA from 1 species
UAUUGAGUUUGGGAACAAGUUUCCGUAGGUGAACCU